rnacentral:rRNA from 1 species
UACAGAGGGUGCGAGCGUUAAUCGGAAUUACUGGGCGUAAAGCGUGCGUAGACGGUUAAGUAAGUCAGGUGUGAAAGCCCCGGGCUCAACCUGGGAAUUGCAUUCGAGACUGAAUAGCUAGGGUACGGUAGAGGGAAGUGGAAUUUCCGGUGUAGCGGUGAAAUGCGUAGAUAUCGGAAGGAACAUCAGUGGCGAAAGCGACUUCCUGGACCAGUACCGACGUCAGGCACGAAAGCGUGGGGAGCAAAC